rnacentral:rRNA from 1 species
UACGUAGGGCGCAAGCGUUGUCCGGAAUUAUUGGGCGUAAAGAGCUCGUAGGCGGUCUGUUACGUCCGCUGUGAAAACCCAGGGCUUAACCCUGGGCUUGCAGUGGAUACGGGUAGACUAGAGGCAGGUAGGGGAGAAUGGAAUUCCCGGUGUAGCGGUGAAAUGCGCAGAUAUCGGGAGGAACACCGGUGGCGAAGGCGGUUCUCUGGGCCUGACCUGACGCUGAGGAGCGAAAGUGUGGGGAGCGAACAGG